UGGGUAAUCUUGCACAAUGGGCGAAAGCCUGAUGCAGCAACGCCGCGUGCGGGAAGAAGGCCCUCGGGUUGUAAACCGCUUUCAGAAGGAACGAAACUGACGGUACUUUCAGAAGAAGGUGCGGCCAACUACGUGCCAGCAGCCGCGGUGACACGUAGGCACCAAGCGUUGUCCGGAUUUAUUGGGCGUAAAGAGCUCGUAGGCGGUUCAGUAAGUCGGGUGUGAAAACUUUGGGCUUAACCCAAAGCGUGCAUCCGAUACUGCUGUGACUUGAGUACGGUAGGGGAGCGGGGAAUUCCCGGUGUAGCGGUGAAAUGCGUAGAUAUCGGGAGGAACAUCAGUGGCGAAGGCGGCCCUCUGGUCCAGUACUGACACUCAAGUGCGAAAGCGUGGGGAGCAAACAGGAUUAGAUACCCAUGUAGUCCCUGAGCGGGCUGGCAAGGCGCAU
rnacentral:rRNA from 1 species